UCAUAAAAACAAGAAAUCAAGCAUCUAAAGUAUGGUCAAACCUUGUCAGAAAAAUUAACACUUAGAAAAUUCUGGGCUGCCCAGAAUUUUCUGGUCAAUGCCGGUCAACCCACUUUGACCUUAAAUAACUCUUAAUCCGUAAUAUAUAUGGACCUGAUUCUUUUUGGAGGUUAAAUACCACAUAACAGGCUACACAUAUCAACCUUUAGAACACAAAACACAUUAAAGAUGGCCGAGAUAUAAGGCCUGACAUUUGCCAAAAAAAAAAUUCUGGACACUUAGAAUAUUUUCUGGGUUUGAAAAACAGCCGGUCAAUGCCGGUCAACCCACUUUGACCGCUUAUAAAUCCCGAUCUANNNN
rnacentral:lncRNA from 1 species